rnacentral:rRNA from 1 species
GAUGAACGCUGGCGGCGUGCCUAAUACAUGCCAGUCGAGCGAACGGACGAGAAGUUUGCUUCUCUGAUGUUAGCGGCGGACGGGCGAGUAACACGUGGAUAACCUACCUAUAAGACUGGGAUAACUUCGGGAAACCGGAGCUAAUACCGGAUAAUAUUUUGAACCGCAUGGUUCAUAAGUGAAAGACGGUCUUUCUGUCACUUAUAGAUGGUUCCGCGCUGCAUUAGCUAGUUGGUAAGGUAACGGCUUACCAAGGCAACGAUGCAUAACCGACCUGAAAGGGUACACGACCACACUGGAGCUGAGACACGGUCCAGACUCCUACGGGAGGCAGCAGUAGGGAAUCUUCCGCAAUGGGCGAAAGCCUGACGGAGCAACACCGCGUGGAUGAUGAAGGUCUUCGGAUCGUAAAGCUCUGCUGUUAGGGAAGAGCAUAUGUGUCAGUAGCUGUGCAAAUAUGGACGGUACCUAAUCAAGAAGCCACGGCUAACUACGUG